UUUCUAACAUUUUGCAUUAACAUAUGCCCUUUUAUUACAGAUUGUUGCCCUUGCACUAAGUUCAGCUGUGUUGGAAUACAGGACAGAUUUAUGCCUGGCUACAGUGCAUCUACCAGGAAAUCUUACAGUCUUUACUAAAUAGAAAUAUUUAAUUUGUCAACCAGAAGUUUCCUCUAAAGUAUCCUGAUAACCUGGUAACUCAACCUGACAGCCUUCUCAAAGGAGAUGACUUCUGGGUGGCAAGGGGAGAGCAGGGGAUGUUGUUUACCUCAGCUUCAGUAAUGCCUUUGACAGUAUCUCUCACAACAACCAAGCAAACCAGUGAUGUGGUUUGGUCCAGGAAUAAUUCCAAACACCACUACAGGCUGGAAAGCAACUCCCUAAAGAAAGACCUGGGCAUCUUGAUGAACAAGCUAUGAGCCAACAAUGCACCCCUGCAGCAAAGCAGGCCAACAGUGUCCAGCAUUACAUUAAACAGAGCAUCACCAGGAGGUCAAGGGAGGUGAUCCCUCCCCUCUCCUCAGACCUGGUGAGACACAGCUGCAAAGCUGGGUCCAGUGCUGAGACGCCCAAAAAAGAGAGACAUAGCAUGGUGGACUGAGUCGACCAAAGGACCAGGAAGACUGAGAGGUCUUGGAGGAUCUGACAAAUGAAGAGAGGCUGAGAGAGUAGGCAGUGUUCAGCCUGGAGUAGCUCAAGAGCAUCCUAUUCAUCCUACCCACUCUUGAUGGGGGGAAGCCAAAAAGAUGGAGCCAGGCUCUUUUCAGUGGUGUCCAAUGACAGGAUGAUAAAGAACAGGCAGAAAUUCAAAUAAAGGCAACUUAAUUUAAAGACAAGAAAACUUCUCACUGAGAGAAUGAUUGAACACUGGACCAGACUGC